AACGAACGCUGGCGGCAUGCCUAACACAUGCAAGUCGAACGGGACCUCCGUGUGUAGUUGCGCACGGGUGCGUAAAGCGUGGGAAGGUGCCCUUAGGUUCGGAAUAAUUCCCUUUAAGGGGUGCUAAUACCGGGUAAUGUCCUCGGAUAAAAGAUUUAUCGCCUUUGGGUGGGCCGGCGUUGGAUUGGCCAGUUGGUAGGGUAAGAGCCUAUCAAGGCGACGAUCCAUAGCUGGUCUGAGAGGAGGAGCCGCCACACUGGGGCUGAGACACGGACCAGACUCCUACGGGAGGGAGGAGAGGGGAAUACUGGCCAAUGGGCGAAGGCCUGAUCCAGCACGGCGGCGUAAGUGAUGAAGGCCUUAGGGAAGUGCAGCUCUUUAACACGGCGCGGUAAUGACAGUACCGGGAGAAUAAGCACCGGCUAACUCCGUG
rnacentral:rRNA from 1 species